UGCUUAAGAAGCUUUGAUUUGUUUUUAUUCUUUGUUUUAAUAUCUUGUAACUUGAUUCAAUCAAGGGAUUGAAUCAAGGGGUUAAAGGUUUGUUGGUGAGCCAAAGGGAAAACCAACGGUGUAAGGUUUGUUGGUGAGCCAAAGGGAAAACCAACGGGAUUAAGGUUUGUUGGUGAGCCAAAGGAAAAACCAACGGGGUUUAGGUUUGUUGGUGAGCCGAGGGUAAAACCAACGUGUAAGGAUUUGAUUGUGAGCCCGGAAAAACAAUCGGAGUUGGUUCUAGUCGG
rnacentral:lncRNA from 1 species